rnacentral:rRNA from 1 species
UACGGAGGGUGCGAGCGUUGUCCGGAAUCAUUGGGCGUAAAGGGCGCGUAGGUGGCCCGGUCAGUCUUUGGUGAAAGCGCGGGGCUCAACCCUGCGUCGGCCAGGGAUACUGCCGCGGCUCGAGCACUGUAGAGGCAGGCGGAAUUCCGGGUGUAGCGGUGGAAUGCGUAGAGAUCCGGAAGAACACCGGUGGCGAAGGCGGCCUGCUGGGCAGUUUAGCUGACACUGAGGCGCGACAGCGUGGGGAG